AACGCGAAGAACCUUACCUGGCCUUGACAUGCAUUGUGUCUACGGUGAAAGCCGUAUAGUCCGUAGCAAUACGGACGCUUUGCACAGGUGCUGCAUGGCUGUCGUCAGCUCGUGUCGUGAGAUGUUGGGUUAAGUCCCGCAACGAGCGCAACCCUUGUGAUCUGUUGCCAUUCCGCAAGGAGGCACUCUGAUCAGACUGCCCUGUGAAACGGGGAGGAAGGUGGGGAUGACGUCAAGUCAGUAUGGCCCUUACGGCCAGGGCUGCACACGUACUACAAUGCCCACUACAGAAUGAACCAAAGCCGCGAGGUGGAGGAAAUCUCAAAAAGUGGGCUCAGUUCGGAUCGCAGGCUGCAAUUCGCCUGCGUGAAGCCGGAAUCGCUAGUAAUGGCGCAUCAGCUACGGCGCCGUGAAUACGUUCCCGGGCCUUGUACACACCGAUAGC
rnacentral:rRNA from 1 species